AGCUCUGUUUUUUGUAUCAUUCACGUAUAAAUAUUUUACCUUUUACUAAAGAUUUCUGUGGAGUGAAAUGUUGUUGAGAUUUUAUAUUUUUUGAAGGAUUUGCUUCACAAUUCU